rnacentral:lncRNA from 1 species
AAGUUAUAGUUUUACAUAUUCGCCUUAGGCCCCGAUGAAGCUUCGCAGCGGUGAUGGGCUUAAGUUUUAGUAUUUAAUUCUUUAUAUCUCAAUAGUUUAUUUUCAUCGCUUACCAUCAUCUAACUCCAAAACAAAUGUAUUUUUUGCCGGCUUGUGUAAAAUCGAAAUUAUGUUCUGAUUCUGACACGAAAAAGUCGAUCGAUAUAUCAAAAACCAAAUGCCAUUAUACAUAUUCACAUAGCUUUCAUUUCCUAGGAAAAAUACAUUAAUGGUAUGUGUAUUCUUGUCAGAAAAUAUGUUCCACUCCCAAGGUACUCUCCAUUCUCGAUUCUCAAACCCUAUUUUUAUAGAACUACUUUUAAAUCGAAUCACAUUCACUAACUGAAAAUUCCAUU